GGUGAGAUGGCUCAGUGGGUAAGAGCACCCGACUGCUCUUCAGAAGGUCCAGAGUUCAAAUCCCAGCAACCA
rnacentral:tRNA from 1 species